UGUUUCGUAACUGGGAUCUGAUUCGGUCGCUAUAGAAUUAUGAUAAUCAACCUCCCUUUGUUACUUCGUGGAAGUGAGAAAAAUCUAGACUUCAACCCUUCCAGAGUCCAUACUGAGCUUGGUACCCCACAUUCCUUUUGACUGAUAUGUCUGUGACACAGUCGGUGUCAGAGAAAACUACGACAGUCACGCAACGAAAUUCUUUGUUUCGCUGAGUGAUAGUAUUAUUUACACGUGAGACACAAACGAAAAAUAUCCACAGAGCUAUUCUCGUUUCAGGACUUCCAUAAUCUUUCAAGCAUACCAGGAAGUAGCAGCGUUUCAGAUCUACAAGGGAAUGAGGAACACCCUACGAAUGACCACCACUUGAUAUUCCGUCUGCGUGACAAGCAUAGUUUGACUGACCACGUACGUGCUGAAUAGCAUGAAACAGUUGAUAGCAUAAAUACAAA